CGUCGCUAGGGGCACGUGUCGUGUCUGGCAACUGCUCGUUCGCGUAAGGGGGUGGGUAGAGACGAGCAGGCAAAUCGGCACGUCUAGCGCUCAAGAGCUGAGCCUCGUGGUUUUAGGUUUUGAAGGUCUCUGGCGCGGAGCGACGACAUAUCAUGACAUCACCUCACAGGAGACGAGGUGCAAGACUAGGCUGUUCGCUCGUUGAGACGUCGCCUCAGCCGGGUUUGUACAACGCGCCGGGCCGGGUAAGGCACGGCCGCUGGCGGCGGCGGCGGCCGCCGCCGCCCGUCGGAGACCACCACUGCGAGUUGACGGAGCUCCUGGGCAGCCACCUCGCCCUGCGCGACCGGCCGCGCCGCCGGCACCUCGUGCGUGGCGAGAGACGCGAGCGGAGCCCGGUGCAGCUCCGGCGGCGCCGGCACGAGGAGUGGAGAGAGCGGAAGGAGGGCGCGCGGCGCGUCGCGGCCGAGGCCGGCACCGUCGACGACGAGACGAACCCUAGGGGGCUGGCGCGGCGCCUGCGGCGUCGCCGGCGCCUCGAGCCGGAGGCAGAGCAGGUGCAGCUGCGGUUGGCGCGGCUCCUCUAGCGCCUGUGGCAGUACCGCGAGAAGGAGCCGGAGGAGGCGGCGUGGGUGGACGACAGGCCCGUGCGCAGGAGGAGGUGCGGCAGGCGGCCCACCGAGCCGAGGCAGGUCGGCGACACGGCGCCGUACGCCGCGACGGCACCCGAGCACGAUCCGUAGCAGCCGCAGUUGCGGCGGCGCGCUACAGAGCGGUGGGCGUCGGAGCGGAAGGCGUACUCGCACGAGAUGAAGCUAGGCGAGAUGCUCCCACGCCCGUUUUGUUUCGCCGGAAGGUAACAUAAAGGAAGAAGACGAUCUUCUUACCUAUGAGAGUUACUAAAUAAUCGUCGUUCACUGGAACAAAGUGAAGUGACACGAAAUUGUUUACUAUGUUGUUUGUAUUAAUCACGGCUCGCAGACGUCGUGUAUUUUGGACCUCGAAAGUAUCAGUUAUGGUCAUCGACGGUCGACUAUCUACUGACACGUGAGUUUGUUGAGAACGAGCUACCGUGAUAACGACCUACACGUAACCUACCGCGACUUCCAGGUGUUACCUACCUUCGUACCCAUGUGCUCUACGGCUUGCACAAUUAAGAAGGAGCUUCACGUCUGAUGUCACUUCUUCACACCUACCUUUAGUCUCUCUUUCGUUAGUGUUAUAAUGUUAGGAAAAAGAAACUACCGUAACAAGGUUUGUUACGAUAAAGACUACUUCUACUUCGUUAUUCACUACAACCUACACUUCUACUAGUCGAUAUAUUUGUCCGUUUACUUGUGAGAAACGCCCAGACGCUACCACUUGUUGUCUGUCUACUUUCGGUUGAUUGAGAUCUCACACUGUUCUCUUCUCGGUAGAGGUUCGGACUUCAAGGACUUCGAAGUCCCGUCAGGGUUUCAUAACCGAAUUCUAGCCUUCCUUCCGCAUCGUCUAAACCUUUCUUUCCCUUUUUCUCUGGACGCGCGGCGUCUAGUGUUGUCUUUUACCUACUUAACAGUUGACACCUCUCACCUUCAUUAAUAAGAAGUGCUUCUCUACUACUAUGACACUACUCACCGGCCCUGGUUCACAAUUCAAGGUCAAGUGCUAAACGAAGGGGGCUCCUUAGGUUUUUAUUCGAGUCCAGAAGACGACUUAGAGGUUACCUUUAUUAAAGACUUGUAUUCAACGGACGUCCCGAACCAUCUUUCGGAGGACUCUCCGAAUUUCUACCGAAACAGCAACGGGAUUCCUGUUCUCUAUUAAACCCAAAAGUACAAAGUUCUCUUUCUCAACGACCACCACCGACCAUAGAACUACAACACAGUUUACGAUGUUUCUCCCUAGGACGAAGAGUCAAGGAUUAGUGUAAAUUUUUGUUCCUAUGCUACCCUAACGCUAGAAAACAACGACCCCCGUUUGAUAACGUCCAUUAUUAUGGGAAAGGUCAAUCAUGAGCAAGAGACUUCUAUACCACUCUCCACUUAUAUUGUGAUCAACACUUUAAUUUCUAAUACGUGGCCACAAGAAGACACGUACUUGGAGAACCAUUAAAAAUCUACGUUACCGUAGAUACCAGUGCAGUAAAAAAUACGAAAUGGGUAACAGGGUAAAAAAACAAGACCAACUUUUGAUGGUUGAAUUAAGGUACUACACGAAUUUUAUUCAGGAUCACAUAGACCAUGAGGAGAAAGCAAGCUAGAUAAAAAAUCUCUUAAAUGAAACUUAUCAACACUUCACGAACGAGGUACGAGCUAAGGUAACGUCCUCGAAGCUCCUCAAAUAGUUAUCUUAGUGACUAAACAAGAAUGUAAGGUGCUAGGGACAUAUUAAAAGUCGUAACUUUCAUUUUACGAAAUACAUCUAACGGCUAAAUGAUACAAAUUGAGGGAAAAUUUGAACAAAAAUCCAAUUAUUCUUCCGCCUCGAGCAUAAACGGUCAGUACGAAAGCUAUAAACCCUCUCGACCUGCGACCUUCCCAGAAAUGACCUUACGACGUUUGACCAGUUGGUGUCUUUAGGAAACCAUACGGGUAAAUACUUAGUGGUAAAGUACGUGUACUGUCGUUAUAAAUUCUCAAUAUUCUACGUGUGGACAGGGGCAGUUACCAUUAUCGCUUAGAAAUAAAAAUAGUGUUUUGUCCUGGGUAAUUACAAGACCUGGUCCUUUAAAGGUGACGGUAACUGAUUGAGCUUUUAUUUGUCAAGACAACCAUCAUAGAACAAAGGACUACCAUCAAUUUUAACAGACGUCCGACAUAACCUCCAGAUAUAGCUCUAGGAGCGUCGCCACUCGCUUCUUCUACCGCAGUGGUCCACCGAGCUAACUAGUUUUAUUGGGUAGGUAGACGAAAUCCUCUUGUCUUUCGUUGACUGAGUAGUCACAACAUAAGACCGGCCGGACCCCCAAGUAAGUCAAAAGAGUAAAAACGACGGUUCACAAGUCAAAACCGGUAAGAUGGAUAACGUCUCUGGAACGUUUCGGUGACGCUUAACAAAGUAUCAAAGUGACGACAUCGGACAUGCUCAUAGUUCACAGCUGUUGUUCGCAUGACGAUAAAGGUCACCUCUUUUAUAGAUCAGAUAAAUGUCAAUGAUGAACAAUAGGAAGAGCUAGAGAAGGAAGGUGUCGAGGCCGGUCAACCAGGCCCGGAGCAGCUACGGCUCGUCGCUCGGAAGAAAGAGGCCCAGGGUCGAGCGGCUGUCGCAGGGCAUCCGCUACGGCUCGCGGCUGCACGGCUUCCUCUCCUCCUACCACUCGUCGACGUGGGUGCUGCCGUGGAGGCGCGGCGGGGGCGCGAACUCGCGCAGCAUGUGCAACUCCUCGCGGUGCGGGCUGCGGUAGCCCUGCGGGUGGCACUUGUCCUAGGCGGCCUCCUACGCCAGCUUGUGGUGGACGCCGUCGAGCAGCAGCGGCGCCGGCGGCGGCAGGAGGAGCGCCCGCCCGAGGUGCUCGCUGAGGAAGUCCUCGUCGUCGACGACGACGAGGAGGGCGAGGGCGUGGGCGACGACGACGGCGACGAAGAGGAACGCCGAGCCGAAGAACAACGAACACGACAGGCACCGACCGCACGGCUGCGGCGACGGCAACGGCCGGCGCACAUCGGCGGCUCGACCCCGAGCAGCAGCGAAGCUGCCCCGACGCAGUCCACGGCUCUCCUACCUGCACCACCGGGCCGACACGCAGGUACCUACUACCCAAAAACCCCACCCCACUCCCCCGACCUCUCGGCGAUGCACCUCGUUCCGCCGGUACGCGCGGCGGCCACCUAACGUCCUCUGCUGCUCGACGAGAGGGGAGAGCACCGUUAUUGGAAUAGCGGUACCCGUCACCAGUCACCACCGUGCAUUGACGUAAGAGCUACGCAAGGACCCAACCCACCGUGCACCCGGCCGGGGUCUUCUUUAUAGAGAAAGAACGCGGGACGAACUUUACCGCUCACGAUGGCAUG
rnacentral:rRNA from 1 species